GUUCACGUAUGAUCACUUAAAUUAAGCAACAUUGAGCCUGGUGAGUACCUAGAUGGGUGACCACUUGGGAAUAUCAGGUGCUGUAAG